AUUGAACGCUGGCGGCAGGCCUAACACAUGCAAGUCGAGCGGAUGAAGGGAGCUUGCUCCUGGAUUCAGCGGCGGACGGGUGAGUAAUGCCUAGGAAUCUGCCUGGUAGUUGGGGAUAACGUCCGUAAACGGGCGCUAAUACCGCAUACGUCCUGAGGGUGAACGUGGGGGAUCUUCGGACCUCACGCUAUCAGAUGAGCCUAGGUCGGAUUAGCUAGUUGGUGGGGUAAAGGCCUACCAAGGCGACGAUCCGUAACUGGUCUGAGAGGAUGAUCAGUCACACUGGAACUGAGACACGGUCCAGACUCCUACGGGAGGCAGCAGUGGGGAAUAUUGGACAAUGGGCGAAAGCCUGAUCCAGCCAUGCCGCGUGUGUGAAGAAGGUCUUCGGAUUGUAAAGCACUUUAAGUUGGGAGGAAGGGCAGUAAGUUAAUACCUUGCUGUUUUGACGUUACCAACAGAAUAAGCACCGGCUAACUUCGUG
rnacentral:rRNA from 1 species